rnacentral:ncRNA from 16 species
GUGGCGCCGAAGGCACGAGGUGCCCCGAAGGUCGCCGUCAUCCGACGGAGGUCGAGGGGAGAAUCUGGGAAGCCGGUGAGAAUCCGGCACAGGGCCCGCUGCGGUGACUCAGGCAUUCCGUCCGACGGAGUGACCUCGAGAAGUCCGAAGACCGGCCUCGCGCCGCCACCAGUUC